CGACGAUGCAUAGCCGACCUGAGAGGGUGAUCGGCCACAUUGGGACUGAGACACGGCCCAAACUCCUACGGGAGGCAGCAGUAGGGAAUCUUCCACAAUGGACGAAAGUCUGAUGGAGCAACGCCGCGUGAGUGAUGAAGGUUUUCGGAUCGUAAAACUCUGUUGUAAGGGAAGAACAAGUACGUUAGGAAAUGAACGUACCUUGACGGUACCUUAUUAGAAAGCCACGGCUAACUACGUGCCAGCAGCCGCGGUAAUACGUAGGUGGCAAGCGUUGUCCGGAUUUAUUGGGCGUAAAGCGCGCGCAGGUGGUUUCUUAAGUCUGAUGUGAAAGCCCACGGCUCAACCGUGGAGGGUCAUUGGAAACUGGGGAACUUGAGUGCAGAAGAGGAUAGUGGAAUUCCAAGUGUAGCGGUGAAAUGCGUAGAGAUUUGGAGGAACACCAGUGGCGAAGGCGACUGUCUGGUCUGUAACUGACACUGAGGCGCGAAAGCGUGGGGAGCAAACAGGUAUUAGAUACCCUGGUAGUCCACGCCGUAAACGAUGAGUGCGUAAGUGUUAGGGGGUUUCCGCCCCUUAGUGCUGCAGCUAACGCAUUAAGCACUCCGCCUGGGGAGUACGAUCGCAAGAUUGAAACUCAAAGGAAUUGACGGGGGCCCGCACAAGCGGUGGAGCAUGUGGUUUAAUUCGAAGCAACGCGAAGAACCUUACCAGGUCUUGACAUCCCAGUGACCGCUCUAGAGAUAGAGUUUUCCCUUCGGGGACAUUGGUGACAGGUGGUGCAUGGUUGUCGUCAGCUCGUGUCGUGAGAUGUUGGGUUAAGUCCCGCAACGAGCGCAACCCUUAAUCUUAGUUGCCAUCAUUUAGUUGGGCACUCUAAGGUGACUGCCGGUGACAAACCGGAGGAAGGUGGGGAUGACGUCAAAUCAUCAUGCCGCUUAUGACCUGGGCUACACACGUGCUACAAUGGACGGUACAAAGAGUCGCUAACUCGCGAGAGCACGCUAAUCUCAUAAAACCGUUCUCAGUUCGGAUUGUAGGCUGCAACUCGCCUACAUGAAG
rnacentral:rRNA from 1 species